rnacentral:rRNA from 1 species
CGGGACGGGUGAGUAACGCGUGGGUAACCUGCCUUGUCAGGGGGAUAACAGUUGGAAACGGCUGCUAAUACCGCAUAAGCGCACGGCAUCGCAUGAUGCAGUGUGAAAAACUCCGGUGGUAUAAGAUGGACCCGCGUUGGAUUAGCUAGUUGGUGAGGUAACGGCCCACCAAGGCGACGAUCCAUAGCCGACCUGAGAGGGUGACCGGCCACAUUGGGACUGAGACACGGCCCAA